rnacentral:tRNA from 4 species
GCCACCCUAGCUCAAUUGGCGGAGCAAUGGUUUUGUAAACCAUAGGUUGUCGGUUCAAAUCCGACGGGUGGCU